CACGAAUCAAAGGAAUCUGCCAGGCAUAAGUACGGGGAUUAAUGUAGAUAACGUUAACACAAAUACCAGCACCGGGUGGAAUAUUGAGAGAAAGUUUGUGGAUGGCUUCGCGCAUCAUUUUUGGAUCAAAGUAACCACCACCGGCUAGCUCGUAGGUAAAGCCAGCUUUCGCAAUGGCAGAACAGAAUUGCCAAGGAACGCUAGUAGGAGUCAUGCCUGCAACCCACAAGGGAGGGAGACCUAGCAUACGAGACAAUCUAGUAUCAACGUAUACACGACCCAACUUAUUCUUGACAAGCUUGGGACUAUACAACUUGACCCAGUUAGGAGCAAACUCGAUUGACUUAGCAUCACGAUCGAAAAUUUCAAAUUUAGCACCCAUAUCCAAGCUUUCAAAGGAAUCAGCAACAAUCACACGUACGCCCUGUCCAUCCUUGUUGGCAC